GGGGUUGUACUGGUUUCGACGGGGGUUUUGAAAUUGCGGAAGCCAUUCGCAGACUAGGACUGCGUCACCAACUUAGAACUAAAUAUAAACGCAAACGAUAAUUACGAAUUAGCUGCUGCGUAAGCAGUUUGUCGACCUUAAGCAACUCGCGGCUUAAGACCUCGGCAUCAAAUUAGCGGGGCCCUCUAUUUCCAAAGCUUUGAGGAGGUAGAAGAAACAUGAAGCUACCAAAGCUAAGAGCCUGUCUGUCGGCGCUUAGUGGAGGGAACAGCGAACUUCGGGUUCGCAUAAAAGACCGACUGUAAUGGGAGAAACUGCAAUGAAUGGGCUUUCGGACAGGGGUUCAACUCCCCUCAGCUCCAUUA
rnacentral:tmRNA from 1 species